rnacentral:rRNA from 1 species
CCUGAACCAGCCAUGCCGCGUGCAGGAAGAAGGCCUUCUGGGUUGUAAACUGCUUUUGCCAGGGGCAUAAAAAGCCCUUGCGAGGGAAAUUGAAGGUACCUGGNGAAUAAGCCACGGCUAACUACGUGCCAGCAGCCGCGGUAAUACGUAGGUGGCAAGCGUUGUCCGGAUUUAUUGGGUUUAAAGGGUGCGUAGGCGGCCCUGUAAGUCAGUGGUGAAAUGUUCCGGCUUAACCGGAAAGGUGCCAAUGAUACUGCGGGGCUUGAGUACAGAUGAGGUAGGCGGAAUUGACGGUGUAGCGGUGAAAUGCUUAGAUAUCGUCAAGAACACCUAUAGCGAAGGCAGCUUACUGGGCUGUAACUGACGCUGAUGCACGAAAGUGUGGGGAUCAAACAGGAUUAGAUACCCUGGUAGUCCACACUGUAAACGUUGAUUACUCGCUGUGUGCGAUACACAGCACGCGGCUUAGCGAAAGCGAUAAGUAAUCCACCUGGGGAGUACGCC